CAACAAUGGAGACAUUGUAAAUUAUUUUUGCAAUUUCAACAGUAUUUUACUUUAAUAUUUACAGCAAAAUACUGUUCCUACUGCAAAUAGCAAAGAAUUAUGGGAAAAUAUAAGCUCACUACUGUAUAUGUUCUCUACAGCAAUCAUCCUGCCUGGGAAAAACUGUCGAAUGGCAAGAGAGAGUUUAAAUUACGGCUACAAAUGUUUUUGUGGAACACAAAGUAAACAGACAAAGAAAAAGCUGAUCCAUCACAAAAGUGUACAGAACAUAACAUGGUGCAAGGUUGGGAUUCACAUUUCUACAUCCUAGACUCCUCCUCACAUCUCAGUCCCUCCCACCAGAGCAGCGAGCAGAGGAGCUGAUGAAGAAUCACAAGGAGUUGGGCAAUGAGCAUUCAACGAAAUCAGACAUCCUUGCCUCAGAGCCUUUGUUUCAAAGCGACUUGGGUUUCCCAGAGACUAUGGGUUGAGGAGGAAUUGGAAGUUUGUCGGCUUAGACCUGGUGUCAUUCCAUCAGUGUUAAACUUCCCGGCUCAUCUUGGAAGAGUACGUGCCAGAAAGACCACGACCAAGCAGCCUUGAGAUCUUAGGCAGCGUCUCCCUGAGACCAAAGAACUACAGACUCUUCACAACCUGCUCAAACUCUUGGUACAGGACCUCACCACACGGGUCAAGAAGGUUGCUUUGUAGAACUGUUCCAGAAAACCUCACUAAACCACAUGGAGGGGCCUCAAGAUAGUCAUCCAAAUGAAACCAUACAAAAACCAAACUAGCACAACCCAAACGCUAAAGUCUCC
ensembl:lncRNA